GAUGAACGCUGACAGAAUGCUUAACACAUGCAAGUCCACUUGAACUUCGGUUUGGGUGGCGGACGGGUGAGUAACGCGUAAAGAACUUGCCUCACAGCUAGGGACAACAUUUGGAAACGAAUGCUAAUACCUGAUAUUAUGAUUAUAUGGCAUCGUAUAAUUAUGAAAGCUAUAUGCGCUGUGAGAGAGCUUUGCGUCCCAUUAGCUAGUUGGAGAGGUAACAGCUCACCAAGGCGAUGAUGGGUAGCCGGCCUGAGAGGGUGAUCGGCCACAAGGGGACUGAGACACGGCCCUUACUCCUACGGGAGGCAGCAGUGGGGAAUAUUGGACAAUGGACCGAGAGUCUGAUCCAGCAAUUCUGUGUGCACGAUGAAGUUUUUCGGAAUGUAAAGUGCUUUCAGUUGGGAAGAAAAAAAUGACGGUACCAACAGAAGAAGAGACGGCUAAAUACGUG
rnacentral:rRNA from 1 species